UACGGAGGGUGCAAGCGUUAUCCGGAUUUACUGGGUUUAAAGGGUGCGUAGGUGGAUUUGUAAGUCAGUGGUGAAAUCUCCGAGCUUAACUCGGAAACUGCCAUUGAUACUAUAAGUCUUGAAUUAUCUGGAGGUAAGCGGAAUAUGUCAUGUAGCGGUGAAAUGCUUAGAUAUGACAUAGAACACCAAUUGCGAAGGCAGCUUACUACGGAUAUAUUGCCACUGAUGGACGAAAGCGUGGGUAGCGAACAGG
rnacentral:rRNA from 1 species